rnacentral:lncRNA from 1 species
UUUUCUCAAGUUCAUUUUAUUAACAAAAAGUGCAAACUGUUUUGAACAAAAGCAAACCAUGAAUCACAGCAUUCGGUAAGACACUAGACAUGGAAAAGGGAACAAUAUUCAUUAAGUAAAAAAUACGCAGAUGAAAUGCCUCUCAAAUGUAUACACACUCAUGCUUUUACAAUAGUCUCUUAGUCAGCUUUCAGUGUACUUUUCACAAAUGGUAUAGCAGCUCAAAAACAAAUGCAGGAGCACAAUGGUGAAGUCUGGCAAUAAUUUUGGACUGAGUAUAGAAGUGAAUGUUAUAGCACACUUUCAUGUAUAAUAUGUAGGAAUCUUUAAAUGUAUGGACACUGAAAUCAAUGUCCAGCUAAUGAAAACAAAGGAAAAAACAGGGUUUUAAAAUACCUGUUGCUCUGCAGUUGUUUGGUAAGAAGCAGGAAAAAAGUGAAAUAAUUUAAAAUGUUCUUAUAUGUGUUUAUAUGACCAAGAACAUAACCAAUCCACAUAACUUAAUUCAUUUAAAACUGCAUUUGUAAAAGUCACACGAAAGAAAGCAUGUGUGCCAUCAGUGUGCCCGCCUGCACUGAGCAAACAAGAACAGAAGCGGAACCUCAGGCGGCCGACACAUUCCAAAGAGGACGUUCAGUCUAGUGUUGCUUCAGUUACUCACAUGAAGUGUCUUCAGGGCAGAAUCUACACAGAAGUGAUAUUUCUGCUCACUAAUCUAUAGGCAUUAAUGAAACUAGAAACUGUAAUUAAAACCCAAACUAUAA